rnacentral:misc_RNA from 1 species
GAUGAAGAACGCAGCGAAAUGCGAUACGUAGUGUGAAUUGCAGAAUUCAGUGAAUCAUCGAAUCUUUGAACGCACAUUGCACCGCUCGGUAUUCCGGGAGGUAUGCCUGUUCGAGCGUCAUUUGUACCCUCAAGCUCUGCUUGGUGUUGGGUGUUUGUUCCGCCUCUGUGUGUGAACUCGCCUCAAAACAAUUGGCAGCCGGCGUACUUGUUUCGGAGCGCAGCACAUUUUGCGAUCCAGAUCAACGUACAGCGGCAUCCAAGAAGCCUUAUUUAACGCUCUUGACCUCGGAUCAGGUAGGGAUACCCGCUGAACUUAAGCAUAUCAAUAAGCGGAGGA